rnacentral:tRNA from 1 species
GAAUUAAUUAUGAAAGAGCUGCUAACUUUUUCAAAGCAAGUUUUUGUUAAAUUCCUG